rnacentral:rRNA from 1 species
AUACGUAGGGUGCAAGCGUUAAUCGGAAUUACUGGGCGUAAAGCGUGCGCAGGCGGUUUUGUAAGACAGAGGUGAAAUCCCCGGGCUCAACCUGGGAACUGCCUUUGUGACUGCAAGGCUAGAGUACGGCAGAGGGGGAUGGAAUUCCGCGUGUAGCAGUGAAAUGCGUAGAUAUGCGGAGGAACACCGAUGGCGAAGGCAAUCCCCUGGGCCUGUACUGACGCUCAUGCACGAAAGCGCGGGGAGCAAACAGGAUUAGAUACCCUGGUAGUCCACGCCCUAAACGAUGUCAACUGGUUGUUGGGUCUUCAUUGACUCAGUAACGAAGCUAAGGCGUGAAGUUGACCGCCUGGGGAGUACGGCCGCAAGGUUGAAACUCAAAGGAAUUGACGGG